GGAGUGGCGGUGGCGCUGUGGUGACAGUGGCGAUGGAGUGGAGGUGCGCUGGUGAGGGGGAGUGAGUUUAGCGUUGGAGAUAAAAGAAAAAGAGAAUUUUCUAGAUGGUUUGGGUCGAACCGGUUCGAUUCGGUUCGAUUCGGCCCAAAUCAUCGAUUUUUAACUGGUUUUCAAAUUUUUCAAUCGGUUUUUGGUUCGGUUUCUCAUAGUAGUUGCACUAAAAUAUUAAUAUUAAUUUCCAGGCUGUCGGUUCAUUAAAUUUAAUUGGAAAAAUUUUGAAAAUAAAAAUUCGGGUUAUUUCAG
rnacentral:lncRNA from 1 species